GGUCCUUUACCUUACCUUUUACCUUCACAAGUAGGUCACAAUGGCCAGUCUCUCCUUCAAGCAGGCAGCUUCAGGAUGAGGUCACAAUGGCCAGUCUCUCCUUCAAGCAGGCAGCUUCAGGAUGAGGUCACAAUGGCCAGUCUCUCCUUCAAGGAGGCAGCUUCAGGAUGAGGUCACAAUGGUCAGUCUCUCUCCCUCCCUCCCUCAGGCAGUCAAUUGGGCAGGUGGCAUCAGCAAACAACAGUUUCUAACUGGGGCAGGCGGAAGCAGGAGCGUGUGGACACAGUUUGUUCUAUUUCAGGUGAGCAUAGCCUCUCAUUCUCCUACUUGAUUGUGCCUAUCAUUUGAGUCAGCAGCAGUGUGCAGUCAGAGCAGCUGUUGGCAAGGAGAAAGGGAAAGUUGACAGGCAGGUAGUACCCCAACCAUUACCAUAGUGUUCUUCAACCAUGGGUCCAUGGAUGUUGUUGGACUACAACUUCCAUCAUCCCUGAACAUUAGCUAAUCUGGUUGGGGAUUAUGAGAGUUGAAGUCCAACAUCAGGGUACACAAAGUGUGCACUUCCUCAAAAGUGCUUCAAGAAAUUAAUACAUCCAUUCAAGUUCUUUGACAUAAUGAUGGGGGCUUGAGAAAAAGCAACUGACUUCAUGUCGCAGUCAUGAAAAUUGUCAAGAUUGACAUUUUCUGGUUUUUCGUAUAAUCUGAUGCGUUUCUCUCCCCGCCCCCAACUACAAUUUAAUCAUUUGGCAUUUAUUCUCAGGGGAAGUGUAGAUGUGGAUCAAAAACAGUUUUUAAAUUAAUAUUUGUAAAUGCAUUCAUUGAUUUUUGAACUCUCUGUUUUCUGUUUUAAAAAGAAAAGCUGGCUAGUGGUGUUCUUUUAUCAUAUGAUAGUUUCUUGUUUGAUCUAGUUUUUGAUAUUUACCUGGAGCUCUUUUCAUAUUUUAUUGAUGUUUGCUACAUUGAAUAAUCCUUGAACUCGAAAAGAAGAAGAAGAAGAAGAAGAAGAAGAAGAAGAAGAAGAAGAAGAAGAAAGAAGAUUGGAUUCAUUUCAAAUGUGGACACAUUGCCUGUGCUUGGCAAAGUCCUUUGCUCCCCCUCGCCUUCUGAGGUAGUAUUACAGGAAAUGGGUGGGCCAAGCACGUUUCCUAUACAUCCAUCUAUCCGUAUGUCAUGGAAGUUGCUUGUAGUCUAGACAGAGACUAACGACAGAGAAAGAUGACAGGCUGGGCAUAUAUAGACCUCUCAUUUCUGUUAACGCCCUUUAGCUCUGCCUGCAUACAUAUCCAGAAGCUCAUGGAGAGAGAGAGAGGCAGUGAAUCCAUGUUCUAUGAAUAGAGUGGUCUUAUGUCCUACUCUGCAGAGGGCACUUCUCUGUUUUGAAGGACUCCUUUGAAGAGUCCUCCAUUUGAAGGUGCCCUCUGUUAGGGCUGAGAAGAAUUUUCUCCUUGAGCCAUUUUGCGGCUCUAUGUUCAUAUCGCCAAGGUUUAUUGCCAUUGGCUAAUCUCAAAGCGGAAGAUACCAAAAAGGAUGUCCCCAUCUGGCAAAACUCUCUUUGAGAACAGACUAAGGCUGAUUCUUCAUGGCAGAGGCUGCCUGGUCUGCUUUCACUUUAAAAUCCCUGGAAGUUAUUGAUUAUUGUCCCC